rnacentral:tRNA from 1 species
UAGCUUAGUUGGUAAAGCACUUGUCUAGCAUACAAGAGUCGUGGGUUCGAAUCCCAC